UAAGGAAUAUUGGUCAAUGGACGCAAGUCUGAACCAGCCAUGCCGCGUGAAGGAUGAAGGUCCUCUGGAUUGUAAACUUCUUUUAUCUGGGACGAAAACGGGAUUUUUAUCUCAAUUAACGGUACCAGCGGAAUAAGCACCGGCUAACUCCGUGCCAGCAGCCGCGGUAAUACGAAGGGUGCGAGCGUUAUCCGGAUUUACUGGGUUUAAAGGGUGCGUAGGUGGGCUUAUAAGUCAGUGGUGAAAUCUCCGAGCUUAACUUGGAAACUGCCGUUGAUACUAUAGGUCUUGAAUUAUCUGGAGGUAAGCGGAAUAUGUCAUGUAGCGGUGAAAUGCUUAGAUAUGACAUAGAACACCAAUUGCGAAGGCAGCUUACUACAUAUAAAUUGACGCUGAGGCACGAAAGCGUGGGGAUCAAACA
rnacentral:rRNA from 1 species